rnacentral:lncRNA from 1 species
CUUAAGUGAUUUUUUUGAGCCAUGAACAUUAAAAUAUGAUUAAAAAGCCAUUUUUAAGUCUAGCUUGUAUUUACACAUUUUAAUUGGGAACGAAAGAAAAGCAAGCUGUUUGCAAAACUAAUGUGUUUACAUGAAGCUUCAGUAUUAUCUGAAAUCACCGAUUACAUGAUGAAGCCGCGUAGAUAAUCAGUUUUGUCAGUUUGAGGAUUGAAAAAGCCAAAUAAACCAACGAAGAAUAAAAAAACUCACGACUUGGAGAAACAGUAUUGUGACUGAGAUGAAAGCAGUAAUUCUGUUUUAGUCCUGCUUUGCAUAAAGAAUGGGAAAAGAUAAAUUUAAUUUUAGUUGAGAUAGAUUAUGAUUGUACUGAAACUUUCCUGUUUUUUUCAGUGACACGCUCAUAAAAGAUGAUAGUUUAAGUACUGUGGGGACGAGAAUGUCAUGGCCACUGAUUAUCACUUUGAAUAACGUGAUCUUCGCAGGACAAGAGAGCCAACAGGAAAUACGACCAAGUUAUCUUGGUCUAAGAAGCAGUUUAAUGGUCGUCUCUGUAUCUCCAAUCAGCAUCUCUUCAGGGCUCAUCAGUGCAACAUUGUGAACAAUUAAAGCACAUCUCAUCACUGCAAUGCGCUUAGGUGCACUUGCUAAGAUAUUCCGCUCCAUUGCGUACCCCGGAGGCGAGACCAGCUUUAGGGCACAUGUGCCCAAGUUUCUGUGUCUCAUCCUGGUGACGGCUACACACAUCCUGAUGCUGCCUUGCUGCUCAGAAGACGUCUUGGAUCCAAGCGGGAUCUCAGAGGUUCUUCUAAGUCCUGACUUGUGAUGCAGUUCUUGUUACAUGGAAAGAAGAUGCCAUCUCCUAACUGGUCCCAUUUAUAUUAAUACUUGUUAUAAGAUGAAAAACACCGCAAUAAUUAUUUCCUUGGGUAUUUCAGAUGAAAGCUUAGUUGAACUAUUACCAAACUUGAUUUUUAAAAGUGAAGGGACUUAUAGUAUAAAACCUCUGUAUGCUCUCUCUGCUUAAGCUUACAUUCAGCUCCUGCCUGUUCCUUUCCUGGCGCAAUUUUUUAUAGUGCUAAAAAUAAGUGUUUUUCUUACAAACAUAGUCAAAGCAAAUAGUGAAUAUCUGAAGAAAACUUUCUGAUAACAGGGAAUUUUCUGAUAAGAGGACGAGCCCUUUG